CUGGAUGAGCUGCUCUCUGUCACGCUCACUGCCCCAGAGAAGAGGAGGAAUCACAAGAAAGAUUAUAAAACAUCAAACAAGCAUCCGGUGCAGGAGGCCAAGGCUCAUCGAAGGACAUCUCUUAGAUUUUUCAACAUGACAGUCUGGAGCAGCCCUGACCCUUCCCCCACAUCCAUUGGGAAUGACACUGAGAAUUGGAUCAUGGGCAGUAUAAUGGUCACUGAUGGUAUGACUGAAGCAUCCAG